CCGGAAGCGGAGCAGCGUCCCUCACCGGAAAAAUGUGGACCGAUGUCACCAAAGCCGUGAAGUCCAGGGGGGAAAAAAAAUCCAAUAAGAAGAAGAAAAAAAAAUAAAUUACUCCCAAUAUCGGCCGGUCCAGGCUGCAGCUGUCCUGCUGGGUCCUGGUCUGGCGGAAUCCUUGUGUCACGGCCGCGGGAUAAAAACGGACCCAAAUGCAGGACAGCUAAACAAAAACAGGGAUUUAUUAACCAAAAAACCACGAAACAGGACAAAGAAAACCAGACAUGAUGCCAACAGGAGACAAAGACAACAGAGGAUUCCGCGCUGCACAAGGCAACGCGGCUCAAUUAAAUAAUACAAUAAUGUAUUAACAGACAUGAGGGACAUGUCUCAUGUCAUAAUUAUGUCAUAAUUAACAGACAUGAGGGACAGUGUGCAGAGGCGGAGAGGAAAAGACAAGGGCGGGGCAGACACGUGAACACCGAACAAACAAAAAGGCACAUGGCCAACGUCCGGACAGAGUCCUGACAAGAAGAGCUAAUACUUCUCAGAUGCUGUGAAGAGGUGGAGCACAGAUGCUACAGACAAUGAUAUUGAUGCAUCAGAACACCUAAAGCACACUUCAGGAAGAGCUGGGUCAUGGGGAAUAUAACAAAUGAGCCACAGACUCUGCAAACAUUACAUGUUAACAAUAAUCAGGUAUUUUUGUUUUUUACUUGUUUGUUUUAAACAUCAAAAUGAUUACUGGGAGCCAAUGAAGCUUAUAUGGCAAUAAAUCCAAAUGAAUAACCUGCAA